AGUGACAAUUAAAGAAUAUGGUAGGAGGAGAUUGGAGCUUGCCUCUCUAUCCCACUUACCGAGGGUGUCAUUGUCAUGGGGAACAGUUAUUUUCCCAUGCUAGGUUGUGUCCACCAAAUUAUGUAUACUCCCUCCGGUGCAGUAAAAGAAGUCAUCCUGCGCGUGCACAAAAAGAAGUCAUAGCGCGCGUGGGUCUGGAAUUUGGACGUUGUUGCCCCUAGUAAUUGCACAAAAAAAGAUGCAUUUAAGAGGAAUCGAACUUGAGACCUCCAGUCUAGAAUGCCUUGGAGCUGCUGCAGCAACCAAUCAAGCCUGAUUGUUUUAGUGACGUUAAUGCACCCAUAUCCCUAUUUAAUAGGGGCAAACAGGGAAAACUCUAUGAUAAUUAAUCACUCCUUGGUAUGCACAAUCAUGUCCUAAACGACUACCUUUACUGCACUGGAGGGAGUACAAUCAUAUAAAAUAUUAUUUUUACACUGUAAAACUCGAAUCUCCAAGCACAUGUGGUAAUGGUGGUGUGGGUGCGGCGGCGGUGGCGCCCCCGACAAUGCCUCAGCCAAGAGCAGCAAAUAAAUAAUCCCUCAACGAUACGCGAUCUCUCUCGGUUAGUGGAUGGCUCUAGCGACUAGCCAUCUGAUGCCUGGCUUUUUAAAACGGUUUUCCCGGUUUGUUUCUAACGGGGUUCAAUGUUUUUUUAUCGGUUCAUCACGGUUUUUUUUAAGCGGAUCAGACAGGUCAGUGCUCUGAUCUUAUCGGUCAAGCCGCAGGUCCGGUCUGUCCCAAUAAAAGCUAGUUUCAAAGUAAGAAGAGCCAAACCCAAAUAUAGAAAAAACCUCCCAUGAAGAAGAACUAAAGGGGUGUUUGGUUUCUAGGGACUAAUGUUUAGUCCCUAAAUUUUAUUCCUUUUUAGUGUAUAAAUUGCUAAAUAUAGAAACUAAAACUUUAUUUUAGUUUCUAUAUUUAGUAAUUUAUACACUAAAAAGGAAUAAAAUGAAGGGACUAAACAUUAGUCCCUAGAAACCAAACACCCUCUAAGGCUAUUCAC
rnacentral:lncRNA from 1 species